AGUCACGGUGACGACUUCAUAAUAUUCAAGCUCAACAGACCGGAUUGCAGGCUUCUCUUUUUAGAGUGUGCUUGCGUGUCGAUUACCCCGCUGAACUGAGUGACA